UCGUUCCAUCGGGACAUCGAGUUGAUGAUCACUCGUUUUAUCCCGUUGGAGCCGUGCUAAAAUAUGCGUGCCAGGCCGGAUUCGUCUUCAAGGAUGUCCAAAGCGUCUAUUGUGACGUCAAGGGAUCUUGGUCAAAGACGCUUGUAUGCGAAAGGAGUACCUCAUUAAGACAACACAUUGAUACAAAGUCAUGCAAACAGUUUAACAAUGGCAAUCUUAUUUUCAAUGAGGACUUCAAACAACUAUGAAAUUAAAUCUACAGUAAUCAUUACGACACCUAUGGAGGAGUAUUUGACUUUUGAAUAAGAGGAAAACAGAAAAAAUGUUACUACACGUGAGACUCAUUUUGCGCCUCAAAGAGGAAAUAUUUCUUAAGCCUAUGUUUGAAAGUGAGAGAUUGGCGAAUACUAACCGGUAUUUGGUUUCAUAUUUCCAUACCAGAGUAACUGAACGACUUUUUAAAAAGGUUUGAGUGAGGUGUUUUAUGCGUCAAAUCAUUGUUUGAUAUCGAUCUUAAAUUGUUAUUAUUGUUUUUCACCAGUUUUAUCAAGUCGUCAAUAUAUGUGGGCGUUAAAUUAUGAAGAGAUUUGUAAAUAGUUAUACAAGUGAAAUAUUUACAUCUGUUUUCCAAG